GUCAGAGGGGGAGGAGCCUAACCGCCUGCAGACAGGUAGAUAUGUUAUCAUUUAUUAACAUGAUGAUGUUUGAAUGAUUCUUAAAUCUGCUGCUCACCUGCUCCCAGAGUCCUCACCUGAGGGGGCGGGGCCUGUGGGGGGGGUGGAGCCAGGGUCUCACCUGACGUCCGAUAUCACCGCUGCCUUCAACACCUUUAAUUCUCAGCUGGAUCACCACUUCACCGUCAGUGCACACCCUAAAGGAUUUUAUUAUCAACAAACAAAUAAAGUACUUUAAAAUAUGAAAUAACGAUACGUGGCUGUUGGAAGAACGUGGAGACAGAAAUACUCCAGUCGUUAACAAAAUGUCAACAACACGUCUCCUCCCUGCUGACCGCUGUCCAUCAACACAGGUUGGUGUUGCUCCACAGGUUUCAGAGCAGUGUCACUGAUCAGCUGAAGAGUAUCCAUGAUGAUUCAAACCGUCUGACUUCCAUCAACACACAAACCCUGAACUUCUUCCAGACUGAGAUGCAGCAGCUGGGCUCGUUCUGUGAGGAGACCCUGACCAUGUGAGUCUGGAUCUGACUCUGGAUCUGAG